AUGUGAUGACUCACGCAUCGACAUGCGAAGUCCGAUCGAACAGCAGCCGCUAAAUGGGUCGUUGUCGCUUUAAGGAAAUGCACUUGCAGCCAUUUUCUGCUCUUUGUGUGGGGCGUAUUAGCGGACAGCGACCGAGCUGAGAGCAUCAGUUGCUGGAUACUGAGCGAAGCGCCGCCGUCGUGUUUCUACGCCGCUGUGCGCUCAUUGUCCGGUGGUUUGUCGUGCGGACAUGCGAUUUGCAGGCUGAACUGCUUUGUGAGUGAUCGAGCGCAGCCAUGACGACCCACGUGACUCUGGAGGAUGCGCUGUCCAACGUGGACCUGCUGGAGGAGUUGCCGCUCCCCGACCAGCAGCCAUGCAUCGAGCCUCCACCGUCCUCCAUUAUGUACCAGGCAAAUUUUGAUACCAACUUUGAGGACAGAAACGCCUUUGUGACUGGGAUCGCCCGAUACAUUGAGCAGGCCACGGUCCAUUCCAGCAUGAAUGAAAUGCUGGAGGAGGGACAUGAAUACGCUGUCAUGUUAUACACCUGGAGAAGCUGUUCGAGGGCCAUUCCCCAGGUGAAGUGUAAUGAACAGCCCAACAGAGUGGAGAUAUAUGAGAAGACUGUGGAGGUUUUGGAACCUGAGGUCACCAAACUCAUGAAGUUCAUGUACUUCCAGCGUAAGGCAAUUGAGCGAUUUUGCAGUGAGGUGAAGCGUCUGUGUCACGCUGAGCGCAGGAAAGACUUUGUGUCUGAGGCUUACCUGCUUACCUUGGGCAAAUUCAUCAACAUGUUCGCUGUCCUGGACGAACUCAAGAACAUGAAGUGCAGUGUCAAAAAUGACCAUUCUGCUUACAAAAGAGCCGCUCAGUUCCUCAGAAAGAUGGCGGAUCCCCAGUCUAUCCAAGAAUCCCAAAACCUUUCCAUGUUCUUGGCCAAUCACAACAGAAUCACACAGUGUCUGCAUCAGCAGCUGGAGGUGAUCCCUGGCUAUGAGGAGCUCCUGGCAGACAUCGUUAACAUCUGUGUUGACUACUAUGAGAAUAAGAUGUACUUAACACCCAGUGAGAAACACAUGCUACUCAAGGUGAUGGGGUUUGGGCUUUAUCUGAUGGAUGGAAAUGUCAGCAACAUCUACAAGUUGGAUGCCAAGAAGAGAAUAAACCUCAGUAAAAUUGACAAGUUCUUCAAGCUCCAGGUCGUGCCUCUGUUUGGUGACAUGCAGAUUGAGCUGUCUCGGUAUAUAGAGACAAGUGCUCACUAUGAAGAGAACAAGUCAAAGUGGACUUGCACCCAGAGCAGCAUUAGUCCCCAGUAUAACCUGUGCGAGCAGAUGGUGCAGAUCCGAGACGACCACAUCCGCUUCAUCUCCGAGUUGGCACGUUACAGUAAUAGUGAGGUGGUCACAGGCUCCGGCUUGGACAGCCAAAAGUCUGAUGAGGAGUACAGAGAGCUGUUUGAUCUGGCACUCAGAGGUUUGCAGCUCCUCUCCAAGUGGAGCACUCAUGUCAUGGAGGUGUACUCAUGGAAACUUGUGCACCCCACUGAUAAGUUCUGCAAUAAGGACUGUCCUGGCACAGCUGAGGAGUAUGAGCGUGCUACACGCUAUAACUAUACCAGUGAGGAGAAAUUUGCCUUGGUGGAAGUGAUUGCCAUGAUUAAGGGCCUGCAGGUGCUGAUGGGCCGCAUGGAGAGUGUGUUUAACCAGGCCAUCAGGAACACUAUCUAUGCUGCCCUGCAGGACUUCGCCCAGGUCACUCUGAGAGAGCCGCUUAGGCAGGCAGUUCGCAAGAAAAAGAAUGUCCUAAUCAGCGUUCUACAGGCCAUUCGGAAGACCAUCUGUGACUGGGAGGGAGGCAGGGAGCCACCAAAUGACCCUUGUCUAAGGGGAGAGAAGGACCCCAAAGGUGGUUUUGAUAUCAAAGUGCCCCGCCGUGCCGUUGGCCCCUCAAGCACACAGCUGUACAUGGUGCGAACCAUGCUCGAGUCUUUGAUCGCAGACAAGAGUGGCUCUAAGAAGACCCUGCGCAGCAGCUUGGAUGGCCCCAUAGUCCAGGCCAUAGAGGACUUCCAUAAGCAUUCCUUCUUCUAUACCCAUCUCCUCAACUUUAGUGAGGCCCUUCAGCAGUGCUGUGACCUGUCGCAGCUUUGGUUCCGUGAGUUUUUCCUGGAGCUCACCAUGGGGCGUCGUAUCCAGUUCCCUAUUGAGAUGUCCAUGCCCUGGAUCCUCACUGACCACAUUCUAGAGACAAAAGAACCUUCCAUGAUGGAGUAUGUGUUGUAUCCCUUGGAUCUUUAUAAUGACAGUGGAUAUUAUGCUCUAACCAAGUUUAAGAAACAGUUCCUCUAUGAUGAGAUAGAGGCUGAGGUGAACCUGUGUUUUGAUCAGUUUGUCUACAAAUUGGCUGAUCAGAUAUUUGCUUACUAUAAAGCAAUGGCUGGAAGUGUUCUCUUGGACAAGCGUUUCCGAGCAGAAUGUAAGAACUAUGGAGUGAUUAUCCCAUAUCCCCCCUCAAACCGCUAUGAGACACUGCUGAAGCAGAGACAUGUGCAGCUCCUGGGUCGUUCCAUUGACCUGAACAGACUGAUCACCCAGAGGAUCUCAGCAGCCAUGUACAAAUCCCUGGACCAUGCAAUCAGCCGCUUUGAGAGUGAAGACCUCACAUCUAUAGUGGAGCUUGAGUGGCUACUGGAAAUAAAUCGACUGACUCAUCGGCUGUUGUCCAAGCACAUGACCCUGGACAGUUUUGACGCCAUGUUCCGGGAAGCCAACCACAACGUGUCCGCUCCGUAUGGUCGCAUCACUCUGCACGUCUUCUGGGAGCUCAACUUUGACUUUUUGCCAAACUACUGCUACAAUGGCUCCACCAACAGAUUUGUGCGCACAGCCAUUCCCUUUACCCAAGAGCCUCAGCGGGAUAAGCCUGCCAACGUUCAGCCUUACUACCUUUAUGGCUCUAAGCCCCUGAACAUUGCAUACUCCCACAUCUACAGUUCCUACAGGAACUUUGUGGGUCCCCCGCAUUUCAAAACCAUCUGCCGUCUCCUUGGUUACCAGGGCAUCGCCGUAGUGAUGGAGGAGCUGCUGAAGAUUGUCAAGAGCUUGCUCCAGGGCACCAUUCUGCAGUACGUGAAGACUCUAAUAGAGGUGAUGCCGAAGAUCUGUCGCCUGCCUCGCCAUGAGUAUGGAUCGCCAGGUAUCCUGGAGUUUUUUCACCACCAGCUCAAGGAUAUAAUUGAAUACGCUGAGCUGAAGACUGAUGUGUUUCAGAGCCUAAGGGAGGUUGGCAAUGCAAUCCUCUUCUGCCUCCUUAUUGAGCAAGCUCUGAAGAUAGUGCUGACAUCUGCCUCUAAAACGCAACUUUAUUUCUCAUUACACGCUGGCAACAACCAAAGGUGUCGCAGGAAGAAGUCUGUGACCUCCUUCACGCAGCUCCAUUCCAGAACAUUCUCCCCAGAGUCUACAUCAAAGAGGGUGAGAGGUUGGAGGUCAGGAUGAAGAGGCUGGAGGCGAAGUAUGCUCCUCUGCACUUGGUUCCUCUCAUUGAGAGACUUGGCACUCCACAGCAAAUUGCUAUAGCAAGAGAGGGAGACCUGUUGACCAAGGAGAGACUAUGCUGUGGCUUGUCAAUGUUUGAGGUCAUCCUCACGCGCAUCCGCAGCUUUCUGCAAGACAGCGUGUGGCGUGGACCACCACCCAGCAACGGUGUCAUGCACGUGGACGAGUGCAUGGAGUUCCAUCGGCUCUGGAGCGCCAUGCAGUUUGUUUACUGUAUCCCAGUGGGCACACACGAGUUCACAGCAGAGCAGUGUUUUGGGGAUGGACUAAACUGGGCCGGCUGUGCCAUCAUCGUGCUGUUGGGACAGCAGCGGCGCUUUGACCUCUUUGAUUUCUGCUACCACUUGCUGAAGGUCCAGAGACAGGAUGGCAAGGACGAGAUUAUCAAAAAUGUGCCCUUGAAGAAGAUGGCUGACCGCAUCCGAAAGUACCAGAUCCUCAACAAUGAGAUAUUUGCUAUUCUCAACAAAUACAUGAAGGCUGUUGAGACGGACAGUUCUACAGUCGAGCAUGUUCGCUGUUUCCAGCCUCCUAUACACCAGUCCCUGGCAACUACAUGUUAAAACCCAAUUCAGCCUAACUCUUGACACUCUUCCUUCUGGUGAGGGCUGGUUCUCAAACAUACUCGCUUAAAAGGUCAAAGGUAAUUUGCAAGCGUUUUCUCGACCGCUGUUUUAACAGCGUCAGACAUACCUCCACACGUCCAUAAAUUAGAUCCUCAAGUGAACUGAAGGCCUUAUCCACUGCCCUCUUAGCCUUGAUUCUGAACAUCCUAAUAAGAUUCUUUAGGUAUCACACAGGACCUGCCUAUAAUACACAAGGCAAAUUAUUAUAAGUAAAAAGUAACAAAUUUAAAUAUAACUGUUAAAUAAACCAGAGCACAUAUAUAAAAUUUAUAUUGUGAUUUUUAUCGUUUUUUUUUUAUAUAUAAUUAUUCCUUUUAUUGAUAGUAAAUGGGCUUUGGUAAAGACCAUUUUUGCAUGUCCAUUAAAAAAAAUAAUGUUUCACAUUUCAGUUGUCCACCUCUUUCAACUUAAUUCCUCUUUUCAUUUUUAAUGUAUGUCCCUACAGUAAUAGGUCACUAGAGUAUUAAUCUAGUUUGCAUAUUUAUUUAUCAUCUUAUCUUUUAACAUAUUUUAAAGAGAUCACCAGUUUCUUUCAUUCCUCAGUUUAUUUGGCAUAUCUGGAUUGUUUUUAAAGCCUAUUAUAUCUUCUAUUUUCCAUCUUAAAUGUCAGAAAAAGUGAAGUAUUUGGUGUGGUACUUGUUCAUUUUUUUCUAAUGUAAUAUGUCCUGUGUAUUUGCUUAAUCAAAAGAAAACAAACAAAUCCCCACCAAUCGUUGCAAUUAGUAACGUCUCGGUUUAUGAACUGCUUGUAUGGGCUAACGAUGUUUUAAUUCAAAGUGUGUAUUUAACCAGUGGAGAUGUUUAGCAUUGUGCAUUCACAUAAUCUAAAUUUCACAGUUAUGUUGCAACGGAACAUGAAGGAUUUCUUUUAAAUACCUCUUAAUUUUAUUUAGAAAAUAUUCAGUAUUUCAGAAGUGGGGAAUUUCCUGUCAUAUGCUGUGGCACACAUUUGUUUAGGGGAAAUGACCUAACUUCCAUUUUCUGUAAAUAAGGGCAGUUAAAACACCUAAAGCUACUGUCAUGAGUGGAUCCUCAUGAACUCAUCUCUUUCCUGAGUUCAGGAUCUUUUACAUACCUUUCUCUUUUAAAGUACUUAGAAAAGUAACGGUUUCUUUGCUCUCAUAACCCACAUAACCCAGUUUUCCUUGCGCCUCCGAGGGCUUAAAUGGUCAAAUAAUAAAAAGGAAACAAAAAUUCGGAAACUUUGACUUUAAGUGCUGGCAUGACGGGUGUAAUUUAUUGUCAUCUUGAAUCUUAUUGUGACAUGAUUUUUUUGUUCCUAUUGUUGUACAAGUGAUCACGUGUUUUAAAAUAGAAAAAGAAAAAACAAUGAAAUGUACAACAGAUGGUUGUGCAAAUGGAUUGAUAAUUGCAUUGUAUUUCCAUGAAAUAAAAAAUAUCUAACUGAAA